rnacentral:misc_RNA from 1 species
UCCCCAAAGGGGCAGUCCGGCCAGACACAUGUAACUGACCGUAGGGGUUGCGCUCGUUGCGCCACUUAAGGCAACACCUCACGGCACGAGCUGACGACAGCCAUGCAGCACCUGUGCAGGCUCCCGAAGGAGCACCGGCUUUCACCGGUUUCACCCUGCAUGUCAAGCCCUGGUAAGGUUCUUCGCGUUGCGUCGAAUUAAGCCACAUGCUCCGCCGCUUGUGCGGGUCCCCGUCAAUUCCUUUGAGUUUUAACCUUGCGGCCGUACUCCCCAGGCGGCUCACUUCACGCGUUAGCUACGGUACCAAGGAAUCGCUUCCCCAACACCUAGUGAGCAUCGUUUACGGCGUGGACUAC